GCGUUUGCUAGCGGAGGACA
rnacentral:rRNA from 1 species